rnacentral:tmRNA from 1 species
GGGGGUGACUUGAUUCGACAGGAAUUUGAAAAUGAUAAUGCAAGCCGAGUAUUCUCAAAUCUCGCUAAACUUUGGGGAAAACGAUAAGUGCAAACUUAUUCGAAAAAGAACCUGCAUUAGCAUACGCUUAAUGCUGUCCCCUCUGCAACGGCCCGCUUAGCGGCGUGGGGCAUAAUCCUUGCGGGAUUGGCUGAAUUCCUUGAUUCGAGGAAAGAAAGCUGAAAAAUAAACGAAUCCGGCACAUCUGAAAUCUGUCCAACCUCAUAAGAUGUGACGUAACAGAGAUUGGAACAAGCUUGUAGACUUAUCAUUUAAUACAAUUCUUGGACGCGAGUUCAUUACUCGCCACCUCCAC